GCCUCGAUAGCUCAGUCGGUAGAGCAGGGGAUUGAAAAUCCCCGUGUCGUUGGUUCGAUUCCGCCUCGAGGCACCAUCU
rnacentral:tRNA from 1 species